UUGACCUCAAAUCAGGUAGGACUACCCGCUGAACUUAAGCAUAUCACUAAGCGGA
rnacentral:rRNA from 6 species